UUCAUCCAUAGCUCAAUGGUAGAGCACCUGACUGUUAAUCAGGGGGUUGUAGGUUCGAACCCUGCUGGAUGAGU
rnacentral:tRNA from 1 species